AAAAUAGGUUUAAAUCCAGUGAAGACUAUGUGAUAUUUAGGGAUGGGAAAAAAGUUUUUUUUAUGUAUAAUGUUUCUUUUGUAAGAAGUUCAGUAUCGUGUUUGGCUGUUGAAAAAAAUUUAAAGUUUGAGAGACAAAUUGGAUGUCCUGUUUCUCUACUGUGUUGACAGAUAGUGGAGUUGGGAGGGUUUGUAACCUCUCUUCCAGUUUUGAUAGAGAUAUGCCCAUGUGUUCACAUGCUCGUACAUUAAAGUGAUAUUUAGUUUCACCAAUGUAGGAAGCCCAACAGUCUGAAGAGGUUAUAAUUUC